GAUGAAGAACGUAGCGAAAUGCGAUAAGUAAUGCGAAUUGCAGAAUUCCGUGAGUCAUCGAAUCUUUGAACGCACAUUGCGCCCUUUGGCAUUCCGAAGGGCAUGCCUGUUCGAGCGUCAUUUAUCAACCCUCAAGCCCGGCUUGCGGUUGGGUCCCGCCGUGGGCGACCACGGCGGACCCGAAAGGUAAUGGCGGUGCCCGUGGGGCCCUGGACGCAGCGAGCUUCUCGGCACGCGUCCCGGCGGUCCCCGGCGCCGUCUACACCAAUCCACCACGCAGAUUGACCUCGGAUCAGGUAGGGAUACCCGCUGAACUUAAGCAUAUCAAUAAGCGGAGGA
rnacentral:misc_RNA from 1 species